rnacentral:rRNA from 1 species
AAUGAACGCUGGCGGCAUGCCUAACACAUGCAAGUCGAACGAAGGCUUCGGCCUUAGUGGCGCACGGGUGCGUAACGCGUGGGCAUCUGCCCUCAGGUUCGGAAUAACAGCGAGAAAUUGCUGCUAAUACCGGAUGAUAUCGCGAGAUCAGAGAUUUAUCGCCUGAGGAUGAGCCCGCGUAGGAUUAGCUAGUUGGUGUGGUAAAGGCGCACCAAGGAGACGAACCUUAGCUGGUCUGAGAGGAUGAUCAGCCACACUGGGACUGAGACACCGCCCAGGCUCCUACGUAAGGCAGGAGUGGGGAAUAUUGGACAAAGGGCGAAACGCUGAUCCAGCAAUGCCGCCUGAGUGAUGCAGGCCUUAGGGUUGUAAAGCUCUUUUACCCGGGAUGAUAGUGAUAGUACCGGGAGAAUAAGCGCCGGCUAACUCCGUGCCUGCCGCCGCGGUAA